rnacentral:tRNA from 1 species
GGGCGAAUAGUUCAGCUGGUUAGAGCGCCUGCCUUACAAGCAGGAGGUCACAGGUUCGAAUCCUGUUUCGCCCACCA